UACGGAGGGUGCAAGCGUUCAUCGGAAUUACUGGGCGUAAAGCGCACGCAGGUGGCUGAGAAAGUCGAUUGUGAAAUCCCCGGGCUCAACCUGGGAAUGGCGAUGGAUACUGGGCAGCUAGAGUGUGUCAGAGGAUGGUGGAAUUCCCGGUGUAGCGGUGAAAUGCGUAGAGAUCGGGAGGAACAUCAGUGGCGAAGGCGGCCAUCUGGGACAACACUGACGCUGAAGCACGAAAGCGUGGGGAGCAAACAGG
rnacentral:rRNA from 1 species